rnacentral:rRNA from 1 species
AACAAACGCUGGCGGCGUGCCUAACACAUGCAAGUCGUACGAGAAAGUCGGCUUCGGCCGAUGAGUACAGUGGCGCACGGGUGAGUAGCGCGUGGGUAAUCUGCCCCCCGGUCAGGAAUAACCCGCCGAAAGGCGGGCUAAUACCCGAUAACACUGACGCUCCGCGGAGCGUCUUUCAAAGGAGGCCUCUGUUUACAAGCUUUCGCCGGAGGAUGAGCCCGCGUACCAUUAGCUAGUUGGCAGGGUAAUGGCCUACCAAGGCUGCGAUGGUUAGCUGGUCUGAGAGGAUGGCCAGCCACACUGGAACUGAGACACGGUCCAGACUCCUACGGGAGGCAGCAGUGAGGAAUAUUGCGCAAUGGGGGCAACCCUGACGCAGCAACGCCGCGUGAGUGAGGAAGGUUUUCGGACCGUAAAGCUCUGUCGAGCGGGAAGAAAUGUAUCAUGGCUAAUAUCCAUGAUACUUGACGGUACCGCUAAAGGAAGCACCGGCUAACUCCGUG